CAGGAUUUCGCCAUGUUGACCAGGAUGGUUUCAAACUCCUGACCUCAAGUGAUCCACCUGCCUCGGCCUCCCAGAGUGCUGGGAUUAUAGGCGUGAGCCACCGCACCUGACCUAAAUCAUUUUUUAUUUUUUUAAGAAUAUCGUGACUUGACCAAAGGCUUGAGUCUUCUUUGCUCCCUCCUGCUAGGUGUGGAAGCAGAUAUCCCCUCCAUGGCUGGGCACCAAGGAAAGGCCAUGCAAGGAC
rnacentral:lncRNA from 10 species